rnacentral:misc_RNA from 1 species
GAUGAAGAACGUAGCGAAAUGCGAUAAGUAAUGUGAAUUGCAGAAUUCAGUGAAUCAUCGAAUCUUUGAACGCACAUUGCGCCCCCUGGUAUUCCGGGGGGCAUGCCUGUUCGAGCGUCAUUUCACCACUCAAGCCUCGCUUGGUAUUGGGCAUCGCGGUCCGCCGCGUGCCUCAAAUCGACCGGCUGGGUCUUCUGUCCCCUAAGCGUUGUGGAAACUAUUCGCUAAAGGGUGGUCGGGAGGCUACGCCGUAAAACAACCCCAUUUCUAAGGUUGACCUCGGAUCAGGUAGGGAUACCCGCUGAACUUAAGCAUAUCAAUAAGCGGAGGA